UGGGGAAUAUUGCACAAUGGGCGAAAGCCUGAUGCAGCAACGCCGCGUGAGUGAUGAAGGCCUUCGGGUUGUAAAGCUCUGUCUUUUGGGACGAUAAUGACGGUACCAAAGGAGGAAGCCACGGCUAACUACGUGCCAGCAGCCGCGGUAAUACGUAGGUGGCAAGCGUUGUCCGGAUUUACUGGGCGUAAAGGAUGCGUAGGCGGAUUUUUAAGUGAGAUGUGAAAUACCCGGGCUUAACUUGGGUGCUGCAUUUCAAACUGGGAAUCUAGAGUGCGGGAGAGGAGAAUGGAAUUCCUAGUGUAGCGGUGAAAUGCGUAGAGAUUAGGAAGAACACCAGUGGCGAAGGCGAUUCUCUGGACCGUAACUGACGCUGAGGCAUGAAAGCGUGGGUAGCAAACAGGAUUAGAUACCCUGGUAGUCCACGCCGUAAACGAUGAGUACUAGGUGUAGGAGGUAUCGACCCCUUCUGUGCCGCAGUUAACACAAUCAAGUACUCCGCCUGGGAAGUACGAUCGCAAGAUUAAAACUUAAAUGAAUUGAC
rnacentral:rRNA from 1 species